GCGCCUGUAGCUCAGCUGGAUAGAGCGGUGGCCUUCGAAGCCAAAGGUCGGGCGUUCGACUCGCCCCAGGCGUG
rnacentral:tRNA from 1 species